ACACCUCCAAAACCUAGCGGAUAGAGUUUUUAAUGGUGGGGGAUGGGUUUUUGGUGAUUUUUUAGAGUAGAGGAGAUGGUUUUAAGGGGUUUUUGAGUGGUUGCCGGAAAACGGGAAAGAGAGUUAAGGAGAGAGGUUGGGGGAUCGCAAUCUAGGCGUAUAGGGAAGGGAAACCGACGAAAAAGAAGGGAAUCAGCGGCGCAGGAGGACGGGUAAUAGCAGGAACCAGUCGUUUUUGGGGUUUGGCUGGUGGCCGAAAUUGUAAGGGAUUUUGUUUGUGGUCGGGGCUCGGGUUGGGGUUUCGUGGAGGGUUUAUUGGUGGUUGGUAGGGGUUUUAGGGAGGAGGGCCGGUGGUUUUGAGAGGAAGCCGAAGCGGCGACUCUGUUGGUUGGGGAAAGACGGCGGUCCGGCGAGGGAAGUGGCUGACUGGGCGGGUUGUAAAUCUGGCUGGUUUCGAAAUUGGUGGUUAUUUUUUUGUAUUUUAACCAAUUAAAUCAUGACACGUGUCCCUUAAACAAAAAAAAUAACCCAUUCAACGUGUUACCGGUAUUUGGGAUUGAAGAAAAAGAUGACCCCCCAAAGUUCGAAUUAUUCCAAAAUAAUCGAAAGUUAGGAUUAAUCUUCCAAAAUUGAUGAAUGUUGGGAUUAUUUUUUCUAAUUUUUCCAAUUAGAAAUUCUUAAGUUCAUUCCUUGUGAAAGAACGAAGGAAGACUCUUAGUGUGUGGAGAUGAAUAUCCUUACUUUUACCAUUUACAAUUUGAUACCCUGACCUUCACUUUGUAACUCCUUUGUAUGCCUCUCUGUCUAGUUAUCUUCUCUCAAUUUCUUUCAUUACUUCUCUCUAUUCUCUACAAGUAUUACCCAACUCCUCCAUGGAACAUUAUCCUCUCAUUUUCUCCUUCUCUUUGGCUUUUCUGAAACAACAAGUUGUUAAUUAGCAAGCUUCAAGUUUAUUAGUGAUGGUGGCAGGUUGUCAACAUAAAGAUGGUCUAAGGGAUAUACAAUUUCAACAAGGUCCUUGGAAUAAGGUCAUAUGGAAGGACUUGGGCACCUCCACAAAGGGGUACUAUAAGAUCAACAAGGAUGGUUCAUGGAUCUCCAUGGAUAAUGCUAGAGCGGGGGGAGUUAUAAGAUGUUCAAAAGGAAAUUGGCAGAUAAGUUUUACAAUGAAGCUUAAUUAAAACUAUAGGUACCCUGGUGCAACCUUGGCACAACUCAUUGCAAUGCACAGAGGUCUAACGACAUCAAAGGCGAAAGGUAUUAGAUUUGUCUACCUAGAAAUGGAUGCAUAGGCCCUCAAAUGUAUGCUUGACAAUGCAUAUAUAUGGAUCACAAGCUAGGUGCUAUUGUUGGUGAUGUUGUGAAGUUUCUUCAAAGGGAGUGGUCUGUCACCAUACUUCAUGUUAAAAUCUUUACAAACCUCAUUGCGCGUGGCCUAGCUGCUAUUAGACGAACCUAAGCUUAUGAUGAUAUAGCCUACCACUUCUAGCUACUCCCCAGUUCCUCUCACGAAAGUUUACAUGAAGCAGCUGAAGAGUACGAUUAAUUCUUGCAGUGGCAACAGAUUAGCCUACUUGUUAUUACUCCAAGUCGCUACAGGACUACUCUAUCUAUUCCAAUUUAUUAUUGUUGUUGUUAUAUUUAUUUUGCAGGGAAGUUAUAUUUCCAGGUUUUCUCAUGGAUGCAAGUUUUGUUGUUUAAAACAUCACCAUUAAUGUAGUUCUAUGAUGAUGAGAACAUUUAUUAACCGU